GAUCGCAUAGCGCAGUGUAUUAGUGCGUCUGACUUUGGAUCAGAAGGUCGUGGGUUUGACUCCCACUGUGUUCG